GAUGAACGCUGGCGGCGUGCUUAACACAUGCAAGUCGAACGGAAAGGCCUCUGCUUGCAGGGGUACUCGAGUGGCGAACGGGUGAGUAACACGUGGGUGAUCUGCCCUGCACUUCGGGAUAAGCCUGGGAAACUGGGUCUAAUACCGGAUAGGACAAUGGUUUGGAUGCUGUUGUGGAAAGUUUUUCGGUGUGGGAUGAGCUCGCGGCCUAUCAGCUUGUUGGUGGGGUAAUGGCCUACCAAGGCGUCGACGGGUAGCCGGCCUGAGAGGGUGUACGGCCACAUUGGGACUGAGAUACGGCUCAGACUCCUACGGGAGGCAGCAGUGGGGAAUAUUGCACAAUGGGCGCAAGCCUGAUGCAGCGACGCCGCGUGGGGGAUGACGGCCUUCGGGUUGUAAACUCCUUUCGCUAGGGACGAAGCGUUUUUGUGACGGUACCUGGAGAAGAAGCACCGGCUAACUACGUG
rnacentral:rRNA from 1 species